UCUGGUUGAUCCUGCCAGUAGUCAUAUGCUUGUCUCAAAGAUUAAGCCAUGCAUGUCUAAGUACAAACCUUAAUACGGUGAAACCGCGAAUGGCUCAUUAAAUCAGCUAUGGUUCCUUAGAUCGUCUCAUCCUACUCGGAUAACUGUGGAAAAUCUAGAGCUAAUACGUGCUUACAAGCCCUGACCUCACGGGAGGGGCGCAUUUAUUAGAUCAAAACCAAUCGGGGCUUGCCCCGUCUGCUUGGUGACUCUGGAUAACUUUUGUGCUGAUCGCAUGGCCUCUGCGCUGGCGACGUAUCUUUCAAGUGUCUGCCCUAUCAACUUACGAUGGUAGGUGAUAUGCCUACCAUGGUUAUAACGGGUAACGGGGAAUCAGGGUUCGAUUCCGGAGAGGGAGCCUGAGAAACGGCUACCACAUCUAAGGAAGGCAGCAGGCGCGCAAAUUACCCACUCCCGGCACGGGGAGGUAGUGACGAAAAAUAACGAUACGGGACUCUUUUGAGGCCCCGUAAUUGGAAUGAGUACACUUUAAAUCCGUUAACAAGUAUCUAUUGGAGGGCAAGUCUGGUGCCAGCAGCCGCGGUAAUUCCAGCUCCAAUAGCGUAUAUUAAUGUUGCUGCAGUUAAAAAGCUCGUAGUUGGAUCUGAGGACUCGAAUUGGUGGUGCACCAUACGGUGUUACUGCCGAUUCGGCCUACCUAGUCGGUGCUCGCUCUUGGUGUUCUUAAUUGAAUGCCCUGAGUGCCCGGCAAGUUUACUUUGAAAAAAUUAGAGUGCUCAAAGCAGGCCAUUAGCCGGAAUACUUCAGCAUGGAAUAAUGGAAUAGGACUUCGGUUCUAUUUUGUUGGUUUUCGGAACCCGAGGUAAUGAUUAAGAGAGACAGACGGGGGCAUUCGUACUGCGGUGUUAGAGGUGAAAUUCUUGGAUCGCCGCAAGACGAACAACUGCGAAAGCAUUUGCCAAGAAUGUUUUCAUUAAUCAAGAACGAAAGUCAGAGGUUCGAAGACGAUCAGAUACCGUCCUAGUUCUGACCAUAAACGAUGCCAACUGGCGAUCCGAGAUCGUUUGCUUAUUGACCUCUCGGGCAGCCUCCGGGAAACCAAAGUUUUUAGGUUCCGGGGGAAGUAUGGUUGCAAAGCUGGAACUGGAAUUUGUGGGGGUUGUCACAAACCCCCAGUCGGUAGGGUUUCCGGCCUUGUGCUCUUUCCUUACUGUUCUCUGUAACGCCGAAGGCGGGGCUUCCACGGUGGGGAAGCGGUUGUACAAAUCCGGCAAAUCCAGCCAAAUGGGUUCCGGACUCUGUCCAACCUGCAACUGGUAACAGCCUCGGCUGGCUAACAUUUGAGCUGGGACUCGCUUGGGAGGAGCGAGGAUAAUAUAAACCUCUAUGUGACUGAGGUGAGGAAUCUGGUUCUCGUAAAAUGGCUGGAGAUCCCGAGCCUGUAAGUCAUAAAUUAGUUCCCCCCACGAGGGGAGGUGUCGAAUUGAAGCCAGUGCGUGCCCUUACUAGUUUAAGGGAUUGUAUACUUCCUUUGGUGUACCCACCUGGAAGUGCCCAAGGGGUCCUAUCCCUGCACUCCAUCCCCGAUUGGAGUCAGGUGACGGCUCCUUA
rnacentral:rRNA from 1 species